AUAUUUUGGCUCAGUGGUAGAGCAUUUGCCUGGCAUGUGUGAGGCACUGAGUUCGAUUUUCAGCACCAUAUA
rnacentral:tRNA from 1 species